rnacentral:lncRNA from 1 species
CUUUAUUUCGUUGGUCACGAUUGCAGCAGGUUCUGCUGCUGACCUUCUAUCAAGAUGGUCCCUGGGUAAUGUGGGGUCCAGCAUCAGCUCUUGAGGAAAGUGGAAAGGCUGCUGAGUGUAUGCGCCACAAGAAGCCCCUCCCUCAGCUCUGUCUCUCAAUCACUAAGAAUGUUGAUUCACUAAAGUCCAAACUUGCGCUGGCGCCAUCUUGGCCUCUCAUGCCCUCCCUGGUCUCUCUCCGUCACCUCCAUAAAAAGCUACAAGUGAGUCAGCUGCAACGGGAAAAAGGAAAGAGGUGUGUUUCUGGCUCCCAUACAUAUGACUCUGAGCAGAGAACAACUGCAAACAAAGCCUUAAACCUGAAACUCUAAAGGGCAGGGUGUGGGAAGGUUUGCGGCCCGGUGCGGGCAAGGUUGAAGUGGCAUGUUCAGCAGGUUGGACAUGUGUACUUUCCUUCCAUUUAAUAAUUAGAAAGGAAUGAACUCUCCCCACUGAACUGCGGCCCAGCUCUGGUGCUCCUCGUGGAAAAUACCACUUAAGACAACACCAAGCUUCAAAGCCCUUGCAUUUCCUGGCCAAGGAUAAAGGGUUCCCUCUUUCCCUGCAGUGAGUCCUACCCCUCUGAACCCAGCGCCAGUUACUCAUGUUCUAGAAUGUUUAUUAAUUAAGUUUGGCUUCUCUGGUUGAUUUUGCAGAAAGAUUUUUUUUUUCACACUUUGAAAUCAAGCAUCUGCACAUGGGUUGGUUGGCAGUCUGUUUGCAGACAAGGAUGCAGAAAGAAAAGUCCUUGGACUCCAUGCCGUGUUGUGUGGCUGCAGAACGCUGCCUCUAGUGCCAUUCCUCAAGGUCUGCAUAACUAGAAGAAGUUAUCUGUGUUGUUAACAGGAGACAAUAUCACCCUGUCGUACCUCUGUGGAAUGUUGCUAGGGGGACUGUGUGCAGCUGAGAUAGACAUGUGUAAUGGCAACUACCAAACCACAUGCAAGGAGGCUCUUCGAUCUGUGUGAAUCAUCUUUCAGCCCUGGUAUGUUCAUCCAUCAAACUCUUAUUUUAUACUAUACUCACAGGCUGGGCCUCUUCUGGGGACUUUAGGAGCACAUUUCUUUAAUUGGUCAAGUCUUUCAUUUUCAAGCUCUAUUGGAUUCUCCCUAGUCCCGGCGUCCUUUUGCUAAAAUCUGUCUUUGAUAGACUUUGAGUAUGUUGCUCAUCAAUCAAUCCUUCAUCUUUCCAGAGUGUCUUGAUUCUUUAAGACUGCUUGCAC